UCAGUAUCGCCCGAUCAAUCAUAGAGCUUUCUACGCCAGAUCUUACCAAUACAGGCUCAGUCGUGUUCAUUGGUGUUAUCCGUUUCAACAAACUUUGUUUUAGUUGAAAAAUUGAUGAAAUAAAACUGAAAAUCGGCUUACAAUUUGAAUAAAAGUUCGGAGCAGGAGGAAAUUCGUUACCACCAGCGUGUUGAUUAGUUGCAACCAAAAAUAAAACUUGUAUCAGUGAAAUCGACCACUAAUACCAGCGCAGAUAGAAAGGUCUAUAGCGAAAUAAGAAGCAUGAUGUAUAGAUACAUGGUGUAACGAUAUGUCAAAACGCAUAGUCAGCCAUGUUGAAAAAUAAGUUGACAUAGCAUCGAAUUGUUUAUAAAAAAUAAAUAACUUCUCAGCUGCAGUGCAUGAAGCAAUUAGCUUCGAUUUGUUUUUAAUCGGUAGCGCCCACCGAAACACAUUAUGAGGGCAAUCAACCAGCCCACAGCGCUCUGAAGGAGGCUAUCGUACCGGUAAAGAAUAAUUCAGAUAUCUACGACGGUGUGAAAGUACGCUUUUAACCUCCCGAUAUUUACGAAUUCGUGCUAAAUUACAAAGAUGCAACAUGAAGCUGCAAAUCAACACACAAAAUUGUAUCCACUGCAAAACCUGUGACAUCCAAGACGCAAUGCCAAACAUCAAUUGGGUGGUCGGCCGGAAUUUGUCGGUACGAGCAGAAUACGAUUGAUUUAUACCAUCAAAAGGCCGUGGUUUAAACACUUUACUGGGUUUAGCAUUACUAACAUCGGAGACAGACCGAUAGACAAAAAUACCCGAACUUCAAGUAUCUUAUGUUUAUUUGGUUAUCAGGUUAUCAACAUAUGCAACAUUUAGGACAGAUUUCUGGGGUCUAAUUUUUCUCAAUCAACAGUUAGGCGGCUGUUUUGCUACGCUGAUCAGCCCGAUUCACGGUAUCCUGUGCACGGCUAUUUUGAUGGUAAAUCCUGUAAAAUAAAAUUUUAGUUACCGUUCAUAAAUUCACCUUUAUUAUCUCGUUACACGCGUAUUUAAUGGUCUUUCGAUGGAAACGCGACCGACAAACCUAGCGAAUGCAAUUGAACUGUUGUUAUUCAAAAAUUUGCUAGCUGUCACUUAGAGACGUUUCGUCUCCAUUCCUCCAGCGAAAAAACCUACCACACCGCCGGCCUACUUUUUGAUCAAACUGUUACGCACUGUCCGCGAAGUAACCGACAUAGCGUCUGGCCUUCCGCAGAUCCUUCAUGUGGUAUACACGAAGCUGUGCUCCCUCCCACGGUACGAGGGCACCUCUCUAACACCGGACAAUAAACACAGCGCUGAUUUAUCCACAUUUGGGCUCUCCCUAGUGCUGGGCUUUGUCUCCAUGAUACUUUUACUGAGUUGUAGCUUUUUUACGUGAAGCAAUCUGGAAGAUGGUAAUAAUAUAAAAUAUUAAUAAUUAGGUAACUUGAUGGGAAAUAAAUCUACAACAUUUUAACGAUUUU